AUACUUAUCUGACAGGAGAGACCCCAGGAUCAUGACGGUAGUUUUCCCAGGGCAAAGCUGAUCCUUUGCCUUUCAAAUGUGCUGACCCCUGCAAUUUCCCCAAAUGUGGAAAACUUGACUGCAUAAUGUGUGAUAGUGGGGUACUGGAUUCACCCUCUCUUCUG